CAGACCAGCUGAUGGGAAUGAGAGAAAUAAUAGUUUUAAGCUGACAAGUGAGAAGCUUAGGCAGAUGAAAGUUCUGCAAAAGAAGACUGUGAGGUGUUUUGAUAUUUGGGCACAAGACUCUCCUAAGUAGAGCAAAUGGAGGACUGAAAACGUUUUACUUUUACAGGGAAGGAUACAAAACAAAAGGGGAAAGAUGAUUACUAAACAAGAAACCUGCAACUCCUGUAAAAGCGUGCUCCAGAAUGAUUUUGCUGAAUGUCCCCAGAUGGUUAAAUCUGUUCUGACACCUGUUUAUACAUCACUAUUUCUUUGCCUGAGGAGAAGGUUGGCUGUGAUCUUGGGUCUGGCAACAAUCUAUGACUGCCAGUUCAUGCACCUUCCCAGUGUUCUCUGCUGA
rnacentral:lncRNA from 1 species